AUGCACGCUGGCGGCGUGCCUAAUACAUGCAAGUCGAGCGCACAGAUGAGGAGCUUGCUCCUCUGACGUUAGCGGCGGACGGGUGAGUAACACGUGGAUAACCUACCUAUAAGACUGGGAUAACUUCGGGAAACCGGAGCUAAUACCGGAUAAUAUAUUGAACCGCAUGGUUCAAUAGUGAAAGACGGUUUUGCUGUCACUUAUAGAUGGAUCCGCGCCGCAUUAGCUAGUUGGUAAGGUAACGGCUUACCAAGGCGACGAUGCGUAGCCGACCUGAGAGGGUGAUCGGCCACACUGGAACUGAGACACGGUCCAGACUCCUACGGGAGGCAGCAGUAGGGAAUCUUCCGCAAUGGGCGAAAGCCUGACGGAGCAACGCCGCGUGAGUGAUGAAGGUCUUCGGAUCGUAAAACUCUGUUAUUAGGGAAGAACAAAUGUGUAAGUAACUAUGCACGUCUUGACGGUACCUAAUCAGAAAGCCACGGCUAACUACGUG
rnacentral:rRNA from 1 species